rnacentral:misc_RNA from 1 species
UGAAGAUUUAAUUUCAAUUUUCAACAGACUCAACAUACAAUGGCAAAUAGAAAGUAAGUAAUAAUACUUUAAAACAAAGAAUUUUUAAAAUGCAUGAAAUUGCUCUAUAAUAUUAUAUUGAGAACAUUAAUGCAAAAGUUACAUGGUAUUUCAAGUGGUUCAAGUGGUUUACGAUUUUGUUUGCAGCGUCGGAAUGCGUCGGGUUUCUGGGCAACAGCUCGAUAUUCUAUAUACCUACAUUCUCAUAGGGAUAUUGCCGUUUCCUUUAAUAGAUCCCUACAGGCAAAAGAGCACUCCAAAAGAAAAUGGCAAGAGGUAGCGGAGAUAUUAAAUGCUCAAGGCGAUGGGGCUCAUAAAGAUUGGAAAAGCUGGUCUAAAUAUUAACUAUUGACACAACGAAGUCUGUCCGGGCAGCUAGUUUAAAAUAUAAAACAUUGUAUGAAUCACAAAAAUUAUUUACAAAUUGCAGGAAAUAUACACAAAAAAAUGUAUGUUAUCAUUUAAUCUAUGCC